rnacentral:rRNA from 1 species
UACGUAGGGUGCGAGCGUUAAUCGGAAUUACUGGGCGUAAAGUGUGCGCAGGCGGCCGCGCAAGUCGAGUGUGAAAUCCCCGAGCUUAACUUGGGAAUUGCGCUCGAAACUACGUGGCUGGAGUGUGGCAGAGGAAGGUGGAAUUCCACGUGUAGCGGUGAAAUGCGUAAAGAUGUGGAGGAACACCGAUGGCGAAGGCAGCCUUCUGGGCCAACACUGACGCUCAUGCACGAAAGCGUGGGGAGCAAACAGG